AGAAAAUCCCGCUUAAUCAGCGCUGACUUACCGACGCGUCAACUCUUGGGCGCGGCCAUCUUGAUUUCUGGUCCUAAUGCCAACUCGCGUUUUAGGCUAGAUCUCGCGAGAUUUAGGGGGAUUUGCAUAGAUGAUGUCAUCAUUUUGUAGAAGAAAGCAAGCUCUUUCGUUUGAUGUGUGACAUGCCAACUUUCGCGAAUGUGGUGACUCCUUAACAAGACUGUUUGCAAGAGGCCAAAAAAGAUUCCCGAAAGUGACGACUCAAAUGUGAGCACGUACUAUUCCCCGCCAUCGAACACGAGUGUUGCAGACGAACACCCUCCAGAUUCCGACAGUGAUGUUCCAGCUGACCUGGAUGUGAGCACGCACACAUCACCGCAAAUCGGGGAACUGCACCCUGUAUCUUCUAGUUCUCCACACUCCCACGAGCAUUUUUCUGAGUUUCAGCCGCAUGUUAAAUAUGUGAAGUGGACAGAUGAUACGGAAUCAAGCUUGGUGGUAACAGAGGUGCCUUUGACUGACACUACUUGGGCAGAUAAGGUCCCUGGAUAUCCAUCUUGGUUUAACAUCAAAUAUGACGAAGAUGAGCAGCUGUACACAUACCAAUUAAUGGAAGAUUACAGAAAAGGAGACCUCCAAAUUAUUUUUUAAGGUAAUUUAGUUCAUGUAUGAUGAAUUUGAAGUUAUUUUUGUUAUGGCCACCCAACAUACAAUUUUGUGAUUUUGGAUUUGCGUCAGUAAAAUCUUACAGACAGAAAACGCCUAUUUUUGAACUUUAA